rnacentral:rRNA from 1 species
AGCUGGUUUCUCAAGAAAAGAAUUUUAGUCCAACCUAAAGUAACUUUACCCUCCACUAAUUAAACCCCCCCCUACUUUAGAGCAAUUCAAAUGAGGUACAGCCCAUUUGACACAGGAUACAACCUUCAUUUACGGGUAAAACUUAAUUCACACCUUAAAGUAGGCCUAAAAGCAGCCACCUUUUAAAAAGCGUCAAAGCUUAACCCUGAUUAUACUAAUUCAAAAACCCAUGUUAACCCCUUCAAUCGUACUGAGAACUUCUAUAACCCUAUAGAACCUUUUAUGCUAAAACUAGUAACAAGAGAAAACCCCUCUCAUAAUGCAGACGUAAGCCAGCAAGAACCCAUCACUGGCAAUUAACAGCCUUAAACAAAAGUAGCAACCUUACUAGAAAAUUCUACUUCAUCAACUGUUAACCUAACACUAGAGCAUUUCAAGAAAGAUUAAAAGAAAAAGAAGGAACUCGGCAAAUUAAAGUCCCGCCUGUUUACCAAAAACAUCGCCUCUUGCUUCCUAUAAGAGGUCCAACCUGCCCAGUGACCCUGUUCAACGGCCGCGGUAUCCUAACCGUGCGAAGGUAGCGUAAUCACUUGUUUUCUAAAUAAAGACCUGUAUGAAAGGUUUAACGAGGACUAAACUGUCUCCUUUUUCUAAUCAGUAAACCUAAUCUCCCCGUGAAAAAGCGGGAAUUCCUUUAUAAGACGA